rnacentral:rRNA from 1 species
CCUACGGGUGGCAGCAGUCGAGAAUCAUUCACAAUGGGGGAAACCCUGAUGGUGCGACGCCGCGUGGGGGAAUGAAGGUCUUCGGAUUGUAAACCCCUGUCAUGUGGGAGCAAAUUAAAAAGAUAGUACCACAAGAGGAAGAUACGGCUAACUCUGUGCCAGCAGCCGCGGUAAUAAAGAGGUCUCAAGCGUUGUUCGGAACCACUGGGCGUAAAGCGUGCGUAGGCUGUUUCGUAAGGCGUGUGUGAAAGGGGCGGGCUCAACCCGCGGACGGCACAUGAUACUGCGAGACUAGAGUAAUGGAGGGGGAACCGGAAUUCUCGGUGUAGCAGUGAAAUGCGUAGAUAUCGAGAGGAACACUCGGGGCGAAGGCGGGUUCCUGGACAUUAACUGACGCUGAGGCACGAAGGCCAGGGGAGCGAAAGGGAUUAGAUACCCGGGUAGUC